rnacentral:rRNA from 1 species
AAGUUAUCAGGAANUUACGGGGCUUCGGCUCGUCUCUCCCCCCUUGUGUGCGCGUCCCUCUGUUGCUUUGGCGGCUCCGGCCGCCCUUUGUCCUCCUCCCUCCUGUCGGUCUCCGCGGGCGUCUGUUUUCCCUGUUUUUUUUCUUUUUCUUUUCCCUCCGGGUCUCUUGGUGUCUGGCCUCGGUGGGGCGCGCCGCCGUGCG